rnacentral:rRNA from 1 species
GUAGGUGAGAAUCCUACAGGCCGAAUAUCUAAGGUUUCCUCAGGAAGGCUCGUCCGCUGAGGGUUAGUCGGGACCUAAGCCGAGGCCGAAAGGCGUAGGCGAUGGACAAUCGGUUGAUAUUCCGAUACCACUACCAUCAUUAUUAUCGAGGGUGUGACGGAGAAGGAUAGUGUGUGCUAGCGAUUGGAAACGCUAGUCUAAGCGUUUAGGGAGUUACGGUUGGCAAAUUCGCUGUAACAAUUCUGAGGCGUGAUGGGGAAGGCCAUAUAGGCCGAAGUACAUGAUUCCAUGCUUCCAAGAAAAGCAUCUAGAGAGAGAAGUAGUGCCCGUACCGCAAACCGACACAGGUAGAUGAGGAGAGAAUCCUAAGGCCGGCGGAAGAAUUGCAGUUAAGGAACUAGGCAAAUUGACCCCGUAAGUUCGCGAGAAGGGGUGCCUGCGAGAGCAGGCCGCAGAGAAUAGGCCCAAGCAACUGUUUAGCAAAAACACAGGUCUCUGCUAAAGCGUAAGCUGAUGUAUAGGGGCUGACGCCUGCCCGGUGCUGGAAGGUUAAGGGGAACACUUAGCGCAAGCGAAGGUGUGAACUUAAGCCCCAGUAAACGGCGGCCGUAACAAUAACGGGCCUAAGGUAGCGAAAUUCCUUGUCAGGUAAGUUCUGACCCGCACGAAUGGCGUAAUGACUUGGGCGCUGUCUCAACUGCAAAUCCGGCGAAGUUGUAGUGCGAGUGAAGAUGCUCGCUACCCGCGAUUGGACGGAAAGACCCCGUAGAGCUUUACUGUAGCUUAGCAUUGAAUUCCGGUAUUGUCUGUACAGGAUAGGUGGGAGACUGGGAAACUAGGGCGUCAGCCUUAGUGGAGUCAACCUUGGGAUACCACCCUGACAGUACUGGGGUUCUAACAGGACGCCAUGAAUCUGGUGACUGGACAUUGUUAGGUGGGCAGUUUGACUGGGGCGGUCGCCUCCUAAAAAGUAACGGAGGCGCCCAAAGGUUCCCUCAGAACGGUCGGAAAUCGCUCGUAGAGUGCAAAGGCAGAAGGGAGCCUGACUGCGAGACAUACAAGUCGAGCAGGGACGAAAGUCGGGCUUAGUGAUCCGGUGGUACCUCGUGGGAGGGCCAUCGCUCAACGGAUAAAAGCUACCUCGGGGAUAACAGGCUGAUCUCCCCCAAGAGUCCACAUCGACGGGGAGGUUUGGCACCUCGAUGUCGGCUCGUCGCAUCCUGGGGCUGUAGUAGGUCCCAAGGGUUGGGCUGUUCGCCCAUUAAAGCGGCACGCGAGCUGGGUUCAGAACGUCGUGAGACAGUUCGGUCCCUAUCCGUCGCGGGCGUAGGAAAUUUGAGAGGAGCUGUCCUUAGUACGAGAGGACCGGGAUGGACUGACCUCUGGUGCACCAGUUGUUCCGCCAGGAGCAUGGCUGGGUAGCUAAGUCGGGAAGGGAUAAACGCUGAAAGCAUCUAAGCGUGAGGCCUCCCUCAAGAUGAGAUUUCCCAUAGCAUAAGCUAGUAAGACCCCUUGAAGAACACAAGGUUGAUAGGUCAGAGGUGUAAGUGCGGUAACGUAUUUAGCUGACUGAUACUAAUAGGUCGAGGGCUUGACC